GAUGAACGCUGGCGGCGUGCUUAACACAUGCAAGUCGAACGAACCUUCGGGUUAGUGGCGGACGGGUGAGUAACGCGUGAGAAUCUGCCCUCAGGAGGGGGAUAACAGUUGGAAACGACUGCUAAUACCCCAUAUGCCGAGAGGUGAAACGAAUUUCGCCUGGGGAUGAGCUCGCGUCUGAUUAGCUUGUUGGUGGGGUAAAAGCCUACCAAGGCUUCGAUCAGUAGCUGGUCUGAGAGGACGAUCAGCCACACUGGGACUGAGACACGGCCCAGACUCCUACGGGAGGCAGCAGUGGGGAAUUUUCCGCAAUGGGCGCAAGCCUGACGGAGCAACGCCGCGUGAGGGAUGAAGGCCUUUGGGCUGUAAACCUCUUUUCUCAAGGAAGAACAUCUGACGGUACUUGAGGAAUAAGCCACGGCUAAUUCCGUGCCAGCAGCCGCGGUAAUACGGGAGUGGCAAGCGUUAUCCGGAAUUAUUGGGCGUAAAGCGUCCGCAGGCGGCCGUUUAAGUCUGUUGUUAAAUCGUGGAGCUCAACUCCAUCACGGCAAUGGAAACUGUUCGGCUUGAGUAUGGUAGGGGCAGAGGGAAUUUCCGGUGUAGCGGUGAAAUGCGUAGAUAUCGGGAAGAACACCAGUGGCAAAAGCGCUCUGCUGGGCCAUUACUGACGCUCAUGGACGAAAGCCAGGGGAGCGAAAGGGAUUAGAUACCCCUGUAGUCCUGGCCGUAAACGAUGAACACUAGAUGUUGGGGGAAUCGACCCCUCCAGUGUCGUAGCUAACGCGUUAAGUGUUCCGCCUGGGGAGUACGCACGCAAGUGUGAAACUCAAAGGAAUUGACGGGGGCCCGCACAAGCGGUGGAGUAUGUGGUUUAAUUCGAUGCAACGCGAAGAACCUUACCAAGGCUUGACAUCCUGCGAAUCUCCAAGAAAUUGGAGAGUGCCUUCGGGAACGCAGUGACAGGUGGUGCAUGGCUGUCGUCAGCUCGUGUCGUGAGAUGUUGGGUUAAGUCCCGCAACGAGCGCAACCCACGUUUUUAGUUGCCAGCAUUCAGUUGGGCACUCUAGAAAGACUGCCGGUGACAAACCGGAGGAAGGUGUGGACGACGUCAAGUCAUCAUGCCCCUUACGCCUUGGGCUACACACGUACUACAAUGCUGCGGACAAAGAGUAGCGAUCUUGCAAAAGUUAGCUAAUCUCGUAAACCGUGGCUCAGUUCAGAUCGUAGGCUGCAACUCGCCUACGUGAAGGAGGAAUCGCUAGUAAUCGCAGGUCAGCAUACUGCGGUGAAUACGUUCCCGGGCCUUGUACACACCGCCCGUCACACCAUGGAAGUUGGCCAUGCCCGAAGUCGUUACUCUAACCUUUUGGAAGAGGGCGCCGAAGGCAGGGCUAAUGACUGGGGUG
rnacentral:rRNA from 1 species